rnacentral:lncRNA from 1 species
AAAAAUCUGGCUGAUAGAAUAUUCCUUUUGAGGAGAGAAUAAGACAAGUAUCUGGACUGCAAAGAAGAAAUGUGAAGAAGUCACAGUAGGGUGCUUAAGAGGCAAAGGACCAAAGCCUGGCUCUACCCUCCCAGCUGGAGAGACUCCAACCACCAGUUCCCAGCUACGCCCACUGAUUCUGAUACAGACCAAUCAAGCUAGA